rnacentral:rRNA from 1 species
UACGUAGGGGGCAAGCGUUAUCCGGAUUUACUGGGUGUAAAGGGAGAGUAGGUGGCAGAGCAAGUCCGAAGUGAAAACCCAAAGCUCAACUAUGGGAAUGCUUUAGAAACUGCUCAGCUAGAGUGCAGGAGAGGCAAGUGGAAUUCUUAGUGUAGCGGUGAAAUGCGUAGAGAUCGGGAGGAACACCAGUGGCGAAGGCGGCCUACUGGGCUUUAACUGACGCUGAGGCACGAAAGCGUGGGUAGCAAACAGG